rnacentral:lncRNA from 1 species
GCUGAAUGUCUAAGAGUCUAUACAUUCUCCCUGGCUAAGAAAAUAUCUGAUUAUUCCAAGUAGAGUGGAACUGCUUCCUCAGGAAUGGAUGUUAUUAAUCCCAAGCUGCCUUGUAGUCUCUUCAAGAGAAUUGAUUUGAAUUCUUUUGUGGUGAGGGGGAAAUGAAGGCAGUUCCCCUAUGGAUGUGGGUGUGGCCUCUGGUUCUGAGCCAGGUGGAUAAACUAGGGGUAACCUCCUUCAGCUGUGCUUUGAGAAAAAUGGUGUAUGCUCCUGCCUCUGACUGUGGAGCAGGGUCUGAAAUGCCCGUAGUGUGCCCUAUGUCCUAGGAAAAGGUCAGAUUUAAGAGAGGAUCUUCUCAGCAGUGCUUUCCGUUCUGUGGAAGCCCUAGCCCGGGGUGCAUCAGGCCCAGAGCUGCCGAUCAGGUGAGAGAAGGGAUUGUCCUGCUGUGCUCUGCACUGUGUGGCCUCACCUGAAGCACUGGCUGUAGGUUUGGGUACCACUGUAUAAGAAAGACAUAGAACUAUUAUGCCCAAAGGAGGGCUUCUAAGAUGCGGAAGGGUCUGGAGGACAAGGAGUAUGAGGAGCAGCUGUGGGCCCUGGGUUUGUUCAGCCCAGAGCAGAGGAGCAGGGGAAGCCUGAUGGCGGCUGCAGCUCCUCACAGGUAGCGAAGGGGCAGCGCUGAGCUGUGCUCUGUGUGACAGCGACAGGGCCUGAGGGAACAGCAUGGAGCUGUGUCAGGGGAGGGGAGCUGGGUUAGGGAAAGGUCUGCACCAGAGCGUGGUGGGCACGGAACGGGCUGCCCAGGGCAGUGGGCAUGGCCCCAAGUGCCAGAGUUCAAGGAGUGUUUGGACAGCACUUUCAGAUGUAGGGUUUGGAUUUUGGGUGUUCCUGUGUGGAGCCAGGAGCUGGACUUGAUGAUCCUUGUAUUUCUUUUUCAGGUUGGGAUAUUUUGUGAUUCUAUGAAGAAGAUAUUUGGAUGUUUUCAAACCAUACUUUGCUCCAGGAGGUGCUCUGAGAAGGGCUUAUGCAGCAUCUUGGCAUCAAUCAUCUUAGUGCAACUACAUAUUCUGGGAUCUGUUUGCAAUCAGGCAAAUGAAGCGACAAGGGAGACUUAGCGAAACAGUUCAAUUUCUGACCUAGUAAAAUCAUGCUUUGGUUACUGUGUCCUCCACACCAAAAGAAAACACAGGCCAACAGGAGACAGCUAUUCACUGCCAGCAAUGGGAAAAAGGAAAAAACACACAAUAACUCCCUUUCUAUCUUUUCAACUGUCUUCAGGUGAGUAGAAUUAAAGUGGGCGGGUGCUGCAAUUACGCUUCAAGUAACAUGAAGCACAUAAAUGUGAUGGAGACAUUCUCCCCUUCUUGCUUUUUUGCUUUGUUGUGUGAAGCUCAAGAGAUAAUGUGGUGGAUGCCAAAUGUAUUAAGCAAGAGACCCAGAAGAGUGAAAAUGAGCUAAAGGGUUAGGGCAUCGGUAUGCCUAGGAGGGAGAAAGAAGAAUCUAUGGCCCUAUUUCCAGUAGCUCUCUGGGUUUAACAUCCUAUUGCUUUGCAGUAAGUGGCUACCUCCAGUUUCUCUAGCUAAGGUAAUCUGAGCACCUCUUGGAGUAUUUCUGUCCUUCCUGUUGGACUUUUUGAUAGGAUACCUCAGCCUAGACCUUGUCUAGCCUGGUCAGGUAUAGCUGGGGACCAGCAGUUAGUGCUCCCAGAUUGAGUUCAAAUGCCUUGCUGAUGGAGGUGUGGAGCUGAGAUCUGCUUUCCUGUAACAACCUGGAUUCUUCAGAGGCCUGUUGACAGGUAGAGAGUUUCAAAUCUGUUACUGAUCCAUCUUUUAUCUCAGUGGAAAAACAGCAAU